GGUUCUAUGGUAUAACGGUUUGCACUCAGGACUUUGAAUUCAGCAAUCCGAGUUCGAAUCUCGAUGGAACCU
rnacentral:tRNA from 1 species